GUCCCAGCUGUAAACGGUGCACACUUGGUGUGGGAGGAAUUGACCCCUUCCGUGCCGGAGCUAACGCGUUAAGUGUGCCGCCUGGGGAGUACGGUCGCAAGACUAAACUCAAAGAAUUGACGGGGCCCGCACAAGCGGAGGAGCAUGUGGCUCAAUUCGAUGCAACGCGAAGAACCUUACCAGGGCUUGACAUGCAGCUGCACGUCCCGUGAAAGCGGGAUUCCUUCGAGGGUGCUGCACAGGUGCUGCAUGGCUGUCGU
rnacentral:rRNA from 1 species